UACGAGGGGGGCGAGCGUUGUUCGGAAUUAUUGGGCGUAAAGGGUGCGUAGGCGGUUCCGCAAGUCCUGUGUGAAAUCUUCGGGCUCAACUCGAAGUCUGCACGGGAAACUGCGGGGCUUGAGUGUGGGAGAGGGAAGUGGAAUUCCCGGUGUAGUGGUGAAAUGCGUAGAUAUCGGGAGGAACACCAGUGGCGAAGGCGACUUCCUGGCCUGUUCUUGACGCUGAGGCGCGAAAGCUAGGGUAGCAAACGGG
rnacentral:rRNA from 1 species